AUUGAACGCUGGCGGCAGGCCUAACACAUGCAAGUCGGACGGUAGCACAGGGGAGCUUGCUCCUCGGGUGACGAGUGGCGGACGGGUGAGUAAUGUCUGGGGAUCUGCCCGAUAGAGGGGGAUAACCACUGGAAACGGUGGCUAAUACCGCAUAAUGUCGCAAGACCAAAGAGGGGGACCUUCGGGCCUCUCACUAUCGGAUGAACCAAGAUGGGAUUAGCUAGUAGGCGGGGUAACGGCCCACCUAGGCGACGAUCCCUAGCUGGUCUGAGAGGAUGACCAGCCACACUGGAACUGAGACACGGUCCAGACUCCUACGGGAGGCAGCAGUGGGGAAUAUUGCACAAUGGGCGCAAGCCUGAUGCAGCCAUGCCGCGUGUAUGAAGAAGGCCUUCGGGUUGUAAAGUACUUUCAGCGGGGAGGAAGGCGAUGUGGCUAAUAACCGCGUCGAUUGACGUUACCCGCAGAAGAAGCACCGGCUAACUCCGUGCCAGCCGCCGCCGUAA
rnacentral:rRNA from 1 species